rnacentral:snRNA from 1 species
GUGCUCGCUUCGGCAGCACAUAUACUAAAAUUGGAAUGAUACACAGAAGAUUAGCAUGGCCCUUGUGCAAGGAUGAGAUGCAAAUUCAUGAAACGUUCCAUAUUUAA